GUUAAGCGACUAAGCGUACACGGUGGAUGCCCUGGCAGUCAGAGGCGAUGAAGGACGUGCUAAUCUGCGAAAAGCGUCGGUAAGGUGAUAUGAACCGUUACAGCCGGCGAUGUCCGAAUGGGGAAACCCAGUGCAAUUCGUUGCACUAUCGUUAACUGAAUACAUAGGUUAACGAGGCGAACCGGGGGAACUGAAACAUCUAAGUACCCCGAGGAAAAGAAAUCAACCGAGAUUCCCCCAGUAGCGGCGAGCGAACGGGGAGCAGCCCAGAGUCUGAAUCAGCUUGUGUGUUAGUGGAACGGUCUGGAAAGUCCGACGGUACAGGGUGAUAGUCCCGUACACCAAAAUGCACAGGUUGUGAACUCGAAGAGUAGGGCGGGACACGUGGUAUCCUGUCUGAAUAUGGGGGGACCAUCCUCCAAGGCUAAAUACUCCUGACUGACCGAUAGUGAACCAGUACCGUGAGGGAAAGGCGAAAAGAACCCCGGCGAGGGGAGUGAAAAAGAACCUGAAACCGUGUACGUACAAGCAGUGGGAGCACCUUCGGGUGUGACUGCGUACCUUUUGUAUAAUGGGUCAGCGACUUAUAUUCUGUAGCAAGGUUAACCGUAUAGGGGAGCCGCAGGGAAACCGAGUCUUAACUGGGCGUUAAGUUGCAGGGUAUAGACCCGAAACCCGGUGAUCUAGCCAUGGGCAGGUUGAAGGUUGGGUAACACUAACUGGAGGACCGAACCGACUAAUGUUGAAAAAUUAGCGGAUGACUUGUGGCUGGGGGUGAAAGGCCAAUCAAACCGGGAGAUAGCUGGUUCUCCCCGAAAGCUAUUUAGGUAGCGCCUCGUGAACUCAUCUUCGGGGGUAGAGCACUGUUUCGGCUAGGGGGUCAUCCCGACUUACCAACCCGAUGCAAACUACGAAUACCGAAGAAUGUUAUCACGGGAGACACACGGCGGGUGCUAACGUCCGUCGUGAAGAGGGAAACAACCCAGACCGCCAGCUAAGGUCCCAAAGUCACAGUUAAGUGGGAAACGAUGUGGGAAGGCACAGACAGCCAGGAUGUUGGCUUAGAAGCAGCCAUCAUUUAAAGAAAGCGUAAUAGCUCACUGGUCGAGUCGGCCUGCGCGGAAGAUGUAACGGGGCUAAACUGUGCAC
rnacentral:rRNA from 1 species